AAAUGUUCAUAGUGUCUUUUUGAAUCAAUAUUUAAACUAACUUAUUAUUCUUGAAUGAACAAAGAAAGAAUGGAUAUAGGAAACUAUCCAUUUAGUAAACAAAAAAAUAUUAACUACGGUAAUUAUCACACUCAUUUCACGGACGUUAGAAUAACCUCGACUUUGACAGGCGUAGCCCUAAAUUCUGUCUAUAUAAGGCUAUGGUAGUCAUAUCGUUAGAAACAUUCUUGUGACAAGCAGCAAGUUAUAAUUACUUACGUUUAUUUACCCUGUAUCUUCAUCAUGUUUAAACAGAUGACUUUCAUCAUGUCGGGUAACUCAAAUUCUAUUUAUUGUAUUUUUUUAUAUUAUCAGGUGGCGAACUAGCAAACGGGCAACUGAAUUCAAAAUGGCGAAGCGACCGCUGCCCAUAGACAUCCGCAAUUGCAGAUGCGUCGCCUACCCUUAAUCGACUCAUUGAGGAGGCGUACAUAAACAGGAUAUUCCCCUUCCUGUGCGUCUUCUCAGCCGUCUAUUAAGAAGAGGGUGGACAGUAAAAGGGACUAAAAUUAGGCUUAUAGUAUAACAACUCUUGAUUACUUAAAUUUUCUACUUUUGUAAUUUAUUGCAGUGAUGUAUAUUUCAAUUUGACAGACAUUAUAUUACCCUAAAAAAAUUAGAUACUGUGUAAUGGAACAAGACUUAUUGACUGCUGCUGAUUGAUAUUGUGGACCUACACGUGGAUUCUUUUUUGCAAGCAAACGCAUAACAUGUUUCAUUAGCCAUUCUUCGACAAAAAUUCACUCUAAGCACCAGAGUUACGGUAUAAAAGCGUUGAUGUUUGGUUUAGCUAAAAAUAUUUUAAACACUGUCCAAAUUCUUAAGUAUCUAAGAUGUUUUUGAUAUAUUUUCUUUUAACAGUUGGUCUGAUAGUUAUGUCUACGAGUACCAGCCGCGCCGCUGGAGCUAGCCUCGAAGAUGGACUAGGUGGUAUGACCAUGCCUGAAGGAAUGACUCAACCAACGACACCGAUGCCUCAAGAUUUUACAUGUCUUACGAAUUGUCUCCUCAAGUCGACUUCUCUGUCCAGUUCGCUUGCCUUACGACAAUGUGCAGAGAAAUGUAACGUAGAUUUAAACUAAACGGGUGCACAAAAAGGUUCAUGUCGAGCACCAGCACAAUUUAUAAUAUCCUGUUUUAAUUUUUUAAAUAAAU